GCCGCCUUAGCUCAGGGGUAGAGCACUUCCAUGGUAAGGAAGGGGUCCCCGGUUCGAAUCCGGGAGGCGGCUCCU
rnacentral:tRNA from 2 species